rnacentral:rRNA from 1 species
AAGUCAACAUUUUUUCAACCAAGUAAAGGCGAUUAAAAAGUUACUAGGAGCUCCAACACCAGUACCGCAAGGGAAAAGUGAAAUAAAAAUGAAAUAAAUUUAAAGCACUACAAAGUAGAGACUUUCCCUUGUACCUUUUGCAUCAUGGUCUAACUAGUUUAACCAAGCAAAACGAAUUUUAAGUUUGCCCCCCCGAAACUAAGCGAGCUACUUCAAAACAGCCUUAUGGGCCAACCCGUCUCUGUUGCAAAAGAGUGGGAAGAUUUUCAAGUAGAGGUGACACACCUACCGAGCCUAGAGAUAGCUGGUUAUUCAAGAAAAGGAUAUAGUCCAAUUUUAAACCUCAACACAACCUAAAAUAUACCCCCAGAUUUAAAAUUUAUUCAAAUAAGGUACAGCCUAUUUGAAACAGGAUACAACCUAUUACGCAGGGUAAUGUUUUAUUAUAUGACUAAGUAGGCCUAAGAGCAGCCACCUUAUAAAAGCGUUACAGCUUCACCAUACACAUGACCAAUCCCGACUAAAACUCAAAACCCUCUCUCAAUAUUGAAUGACCCCAUACUUAUAUGGAAAACCCUAUGUUAGAACUAGUAACAAGAAUAAAUUCUCCAUCAAAAGCAUGUGUAAACCGGAAUGAACUACCCACCGGCAUUUACCGCCAAUGAGUAAAUAGUAGCAACAACACAAGAAAACCCUACUUAACCCAAGCGUUAACCUCACACCAGAACUUUCCUGGAAGAUUAAAAAAAGGGGAAGGAACUCGGCAAAUAGUAACCCCGCCUGUUUACCAAAAACAUCGCCUUCUGUGACCAAUAGAAGGUCUAGCCUGCCCAGUGACAAACUUAAACGGCCGCGGUAUUUUAACCGUGCAAAGGUAGCGCAAUCACUUGUUCUUUAAAUAAGGACUAGUAUGAAUGGCAUCACGAGAGUUACACUGUCUCCCCCAUUUAAUCAGUGAAACUAAUCUCCUCGUGAAAAAGCGAGGAUAACCCCAUAAGACGAGAAGACCCCAUGGAGCUUUAAACUAGUAUCACCUGCAUUAUUUUUCAUCAAUUAAAUUUAGCAGAUUUGUCCUACUAGUUUUUGGUUGGGGUGACCGCGGAGUAAAACAAAACCUCCACGAUGAAAGGAACUAACCUCCUAAUCAAAGAGCUACUACUCAAAGAAUCAAGACAUUGACCUAAAUUGACCCAAUAUUUUUGAGCAACGAACCAAGUUACCCUGGGGAUAACAGCGCAAUCCAUUUCAAGAGCCCCUAUCGACAAAUGGGUUUACGACCUCGAUGUUGGAUCAGGGUAUCCCAGGGGUGCAGCC